rnacentral:tRNA from 2 species
GGACCUGUGGUGCAGCUUGGAGUGCACGCCGGCCUGUCAAGCCGGAGGCCGCGGGUUCAAAUCCCGUCAGGUCCGCCA